rnacentral:rRNA from 1 species
CUCCUGGAAACGGGUGGUAAUGCCGGAUGCUCCGCCCCCUCGCAUGGGGGGUCGGGAAGGCUUUUGCGGAAUGGGAUGGGGUCGCGUCCUAUCAGCUUGUUGGCGGGGCGACGGCCCACCAAGGCUUCGACGGGUAGCCGGCCUGAGAGGGCGACCGGCCACAUUGGGACUGAGAUACGGCCCAGACUCCUACGGGAGGCAGCAGUGGGGAAUAUUGCACAAUGGGGGGAACCCUGAUGCAGCGACGCCGCGUGCGGGAUGGAGGCCUUCGGGUCGUGAACCGCUUUUGAUUGGGAGCAAGCGUGAGUGAGUGUACCUUUCGAAUAAGCACCGGCUAACUACGUGCCAGCAGCCGCGGUAAUACGUAGGGUGCAAGCGUUGUCCGGAAUCAUUGGGCGUAAAGGGCUCGUAGGCGGUUCGUCGCGUCCGGUGUGAAAGCCCAUCGCUUAACGGCGGGUCUGCGCCGGGUACGGGCGGGCUUGAGUGCGGCAGGGGAGGCUGGAAUUCCCGGUGUAACGGUGGAAUGUGUAGAUAUCGGGAAGAACACC